AUUGAACGCUGGCGGCAGGCCUAACACAUGCAAGUCGGACGGUAGCACAGAGAGCUUGCUCUUGGGUGACGAGUGGCGGACGGGUGAGUAAUGUCUGGGAAACUGCCCGAUGGAGGGGGAUAACUACUGGAAACGGUAGCUAAUACCGCAUAACGUCGCAAGACCAAAGUGGGGGACCUUCGGGCCUCACACCAUCGGAUGUGCCCAGAUGGGAUUAGCUAGUAGGUGGGGUAAUGGCUCACCUAGGCGACGAUCCCUAGCUGGUCUGAGAGGAUGACCAGCCACACUGGAACUGAGACACGGUCCAGACUCCUACGGGAGGCAGCAGUGGGGAAUAUUGCACAAUGGGCGCAAGCCUGAUGCAGCCAUGCCGCGUGUAUGAAGAAGGCCUUCGGGUUGUAAAGUACUUUCAGCGGGGAGGAAGGCGGUGAAGUUAAUAACUUCACCGAUUGACGUUACCCGCAGAAGAAGCACCGGCUAACUCCGUGCCAGCCGCCGCCGUAA
rnacentral:rRNA from 1 species